UGUUAAAGGAUGUUUUUACGGUUUUAAAAGAAAAAUAAUCCUAUUCAGCAUUAGGAAUAUGACAAGGAUGUACGUGCUAUAUAAAGGAUUGCAACAGGUUAAGUUUACCAAGAAGAAGUGAGCUCAGCUUUAAAAGGACGUAUAUCAUCAAAGAGAGGAAAAGAGACUUAUUAUCUAUAACGCCUAAAUGAUGCAAAUGUUCCUAAAGAGAUCACUGGGGGUAUUGCUUCUUUGUACGCAGAUCCCUAUUAUUGAAUCAACAACAAAUCCUGACGGAAACGAAACAUUUGAUGGACAGUACCUGCUAAAAAUGGGCAAUAAAAUUGGAUCUCCCGAACUACAAAUGAUUGGGAGGACAAUAUUGAACCUAGAAUCUAAAAUGAAAAGUACGAUUAGAUCUGAAGUGAUCCAAGAUCUUUGUCGACUACAUAAUUGCACUGAUUGGGGUGUAUGGUCAAAAUGCGAUGUGGCACUUAAUGGGUUUGGGAGCCGUAAACGCAGUAGAGAGUGUGGAUUCAAAACGGUUCCUUGUAAUCGAGAAGACUUACUGAAAACUGAGUAUGAUUUUGAAAUUUGCGACAAAAACUGUCAAAAUGAAUACACAAAAACCGAGAGCGGGCUCUGUCUUAGAAUGCAUAAGAGAAGUUUGAAUCGCAAUUGUGCCGAAAGUGAGUGUCAAAUGGAUAAAGGACAUCUCGUACAGAUAAAUUCCGAAAGAACAAUUAAAGAUGUUAAUAAAUUCAUCGCUGAAAAAUACGGGAAAAACUUUGGGUCUUGGUGGAUAGACGGUCUAAGAGCAGAGCAAGGUGGUUCGUGGCAAUUCGGGUACGAGACAGAAAAUAAAAAUUUCACAGCCUGGGGGGAUAAUGAGCCAACAAAUGGUCCUCAGGACUUUUGCCUGCGUUAUGACCAUAUGUCGUACAAGGGAGGUUUAGAAUGGCGUAUGAAUGAUGAAAUGUGCAGCAAAACUGCUUGGUUUAUAUGCCAAACUAUUGCUUGAAGCCAUACAUUUCUUCAAGCUGGCUUAUUUAUAAUAUCUUUGUAAAAGAAAUCUAUGUGCAUGAGAAAUGUGUUUUCACAAUUUCAUUGACAUUAUGAUAAGAUUUAAUCAGUUUUAGUGUUAACAAGUCACACAAUAAUAUGUAUUAUUGUAUCGUUUGUUUUGUUCCAUUUAUAUUCCUUGAACAAUACUGAAAUAAUUAAACUGCUUAACAUGUAAGAUACACUUGACCGACCGGUUAAAAUAUAUAUAAUGAUACAAAAUACAGACAUCUGAUAAAAUGUAUAAGUAUGAAAUUAUAUUUUUUUGUAUCACCGAUCUAUUUUCCAAUCAUGCAACACUUACUAUGUACGCAAUGCAAAAUAUUAUUUGACAUUUUUAGUAAUAAAGUGGUUUUAUUAUGUUUAUACGAAAUAGUGAAAAUUAUUGGUUUGAAGUUACAAUGAGAACGUUUUCAGUGUUGUUAUCAUAAUUAAAUAAGACUUAAAAAUAGAUACAAAGAAAAACAAAAAUCUUUAAAUAUAUAUUUUAAUAUGUUAAGUCCCUAUCAUAGAUAAAACGAUUACAUACUUUAAUAUGAUGUAAUUUAACUAAGUAAUUGCCUGCGUUAAAAAACGUUUUUGAUAAUAUGCAUUAGCAUGGUAACAACUGUUUUAUAUUUCCUUUUUAAAAGAAACAUGACCAAAUAGGGCCGUAUUUUCUGAAAUAAGAAGCUACUAAUUAUGCUUUAUCAUGAAAUUUUAUGUUAAUUUUGCUCUGCGUUAAUUAUGGCAUGUUAAACGUUGCAAAAUUAAAUAAAUUUAUCUGUUGGUCUAUAUCCAAUAUGUAUAUCGUAAAACUCUAAUGUUAUAUUCUUUACCAUAAUAUUUAUUCAAUCCUACUGAAAAUUGGUUCAUCAGAAAAAAAUAUUUGUGUGGAAUAAUUUUCUAUAUGAAUGUUCUACAUUUGAAAAAUUAUAUUGUAUUAUUAAAACUAUGUAUUGUAUACUGAAAAAUAUUGCACAAUAAUAAUAGCUUAUUGAACCCCGCCCAUAAAAAGUAAGCACAGAUUUCUGAUAAAGCGUAAUCAUCAUUGUCAAAGUAGACUAUAGAGUAUCGGAAAUGAUCGGUGUCCAACUUAAUGUCACUUGUAAAUAGUUCAUAUGUUUAAGCCUCCUUAUAAAUAUGUAUUUAUGUCUAAAAAUGGAAAAGUAUUUUCUUCAGGACAUACAAUCGUAUAAUUAUAAUUUUCAAUAUGCCUAAACACGAUAUAAACCUAUGUGAGGAUAUCAUGUAAGAUGACUAAAGGAUAGUUAAAUACUCAUAUACUCCUUUUCAUAUUAAAGAUAUAUGUGGAAUGACAUAUGAGGACCGAGAGAUCAUCUUCAUGAACAUGUACUCUAGUUGUUUAUGGAAGAUGUAUGAGGGGAUAAUGUGAGAUCAGCAGGGGAUCAUUUAGAUGAACAUUUACAUAAGAUUUUAUAAAACAUAUAUGAGGUGAUUAGGUAAGCUGAGGGGAUAUGGUAGUCGGAUUUGGAUGAUCACUCUGAAAAGGUAUUCUUCGAGAUCAAUUAUGUUACUUAAGAAUUAAAGUUAUGAACAGCUAUAUCAAUUUGCAUGAACCAUUCAUAUUCUAGAACAAUGACGAGCAUGAUCUUCUAGUCAUCUAACGUGAACCCUUAAAAAGAUCAAUGGAAACUAAAGUAUAUGAACAACUUUGGAGUCUUCCACGAACCCCUCAUACAUAAUUCUAAAAUGAAUAGAGAAUGUACAUCCAGAUACCCCCUCUGGUCGUCUUACCUGAUUACAUUUAUACUUGUGAAUACUAUUGUAUAAACAUACUUAUUUGAAUUUUAUCUGCCAAAUUUGACGUUUGAUUAUACUUUAUAAUUGACAUGCACGUAUUACUAACUUUUUGUCGAAAAAAUUUGAUAUUAACAUACUGUACAAAGUUUAAAAUUGUUAUGCAAUUUUGUAUCACUAAAACAAUUUGUUAAGGUUAAUUGAAUUUUGAAUAUGUUGAUGUAAAGUUUCAAAAAUAUUAAUGCAGAUUUUUAUAUGAUUUGCUGCAUUUUGAAUAAUUUGAUGUUGAAGAAUAUUUUUUUCUUGUUGGACGUAUAUUUUUAAAUAAACAUUUUCGCAACCGACAAAUUGAUCUACUAGAUAAACACUUCUGCCAAUGAUAUUUUAAAGACAGGAUUAAAUGAUAGUUAAAUAUUCUGCGGAACGUUUUCAGAAACUUUUAUCAAUAUCACCAACAACUAUGAAGAGGAAUGAUAGUUUCUGUUUUUAACACUAUUCGAUAUUUUUAUCAAAUAUUAAAAAAAAAUUGACAAGUUUCUAAAGUUUAGAAAACUAAAUCCCUAAAGACAGGCCGAAUGUCAAUAUUCAAAAUUUUACAGGCUCUGUUUAAUUUAGCCUGUAUAUUGAUGGUACUAGUGCAAUUACCAUUAUAUCCUCCCAUAGCACCGACUAAGCCACUUUCAAUUGUUAUCGAACCAUACAACAAUUGCAGAUGCAUGAAGUUUCUUACUUGUUUUUUUUAGUUAUCACUACAUCAAAAUCAGUCUUUAACGGUUUGAAUAAAAUUAAAGUAAUAUAAGUCUUCUGUUUUAAGCCGUGUCUCACUAAAAGAUCAUUUCUUGAAGACAUGUUGUUCUAAAUUAUCUUCAACGAUUCUUUUUAGAACUUUGAGGAAUUGGCGUAGAUAUUGAUAAACUUCAUAACAGGUACUUUUCUGCAUAUCCUUUGUGACUUAAAGAUGGUAUU